rnacentral:lncRNA from 1 species
AAGCUUCGGUCAACCACUUGGUGUUGCACUGAAGUGGACUUAAGGAAAGGUCAAUGAUUUGAGAUCCUUCUAGAACCCGGUUACUAUUCUAAGACAGGUUGAACCAACCAAACUUCAGUGGGGAGGGUAUUACCUAUGGAACUCACGCAAGCCUUAAAACCUAGGAAUGAUUGUUGUGUGACUUGCUUGUGCUUGUUAUUUAUCUAACAACAUAACAUCAUAACAUCAUAACAUCAUGGCAUUGUACUAACCAUUUCAAGGAUUU